AUGAUAUAACAAAAAUCAGAAAUAUCACGUGGAAAGUUGUGAGAUAAAUUUA
rnacentral:guide_RNA from 1 species